UGGGGAAUAUUGGACAAUGGGCGAAAGCCUGAUCCAGCCAUGCCGCGUGUGUGAAGAAGGUCUUCGGAUUGUAAAGCACUUUAAGUUGGUAGGAAGGGCAGUAAGCGAAUACCUUGCUGUUUUGACGUUACCGACAGAAUAAGCACCGGCUAACUCUGUGCCAGCAGCCGCGGUAAUACAGAGGGUGCAAGCGUUAAUCGGAAUUACUGGUCGUAAAGCGCGCGUAGGUGGUUCGUUAAGUUGAAUGUGAAAGCCCCGGGCUCAACCUGGGAACUGCAUCCAAAACUGGCGAGCUAGAGUAGGGCAGAGGGUGGUGGAAUUUCCUGUGUAGCGGUGAAAUGCGUAGAUAUAGGAAGGAACACCAGUGGCGAAGGCGACCACCUGGGCUCAUACUGACACUGAGGUGCGAAAGCGUGGGGAGCAAACAGG
rnacentral:rRNA from 1 species